UGGGGAAUUUUGCACAAUGGGGGAAACCCUGAUGCAGCGACGCCGCGUGAUUUAGAAGGCCUUCGGGUUGUAAAAAUCUUUUCUAUGGGAAGAAAAUGACAGUACCAUAGGAAUAAGGACCGGCUAAUUACGUGCCAGCAGCCGCGAUAAUACGUAAGGUCCGAGCGUUGUCCGGAAUCAUUGGGCGUAAAGGGUACGUAGGCGGGUAAGCAAGUUAGAAGUGAAAUCCUAUAGCUCAACUAUAGUAAGCUUUUAAAACUGCUCAUCUUGAGGUAUGGAAGGGAAAGUGGAAUUCCUAGUGUAGCGGUGAAAUGCGCAGAUAUUAGGAGGAAUACCGGUGGCGAAGGCGACUUUCUGGCCAUAACCUGACGCUGAGGUACGAAAGCGUGGGUAGCAAACAGG
rnacentral:rRNA from 1 species